rnacentral:lncRNA from 1 species
CUACUCGGGAGGCUGAGGCAGGAGAAUCACUUGAACCCGGGAGGCAGAGGUUGCGGUGAGCCAAGAGCGCACCAUUGCACUCCAGCCUGGGCGACAAAAACGAAACUCCAUCUCAAAACAAAACAAAACAAAACAAACAAACAAACAAAACUUGCAUCUAACCAAAAAGUCUUGGUUUUAUCUUAAUCCAUUAAAAAGUUGUUCUUUGUUUCCAGCUUGCAUUGAUUGCUACAACAUCACUAAUUUGGCUUUCACAUUUAAAUGGUUCUGUGCUAAUCAAAACUUUCGUUGUUAUUAUUCAUUAUGGUAGAAUCAUUUUUAAUUCACGUGCUUUGUGUUCAGUUUUGUGGUCUGAGAGAUGUACCAAUUGUCAAAUUACCGUGUACCACCUAAUGUUUAUAGGAGAAAGCAAAAUACAUCAGCUUGGUAGUUAACACAUCAAAUAUUUCUUGCUGCUUCUAGGAGAACUUUUUUGGUGUGUGUUGGAAUGGCUGAGCAAAUAUUAAAAUUGUUAAUAUGCAGCCAUAUAUGGAAGGUUCCUGUGGGGUUGUUUUUUCGUGUUUUUUUUUUUUUUGUGGUGGGAUUAUGUGCCUCCCAUUCACUAGAAAAUGAGAAAAUUGUCUGGGUUCCAAAAUAUUGACAUUGAAUGGAUCAAUACACACACACAGACAUAUAUAUAUAUAUGCACACAUAUAUAGGCAGUUGCAUGCUAGCAUGGGUAUUUUUAUAACAAUAUAACUGAGUUAUAUUGGAAUUAUAAAUAUUUUCCGUCACUUAAAUUUGUUCUUUGUUUAGCCUGAAAACCUUUAUGGCUCAAGAUCAGAUUCCUGACUAACCCCUCUCUUAGAGCUACAGCGAGCUGCAUUACCAGCUUAAAACACUUCUUAGGGAUUAAAUAUAGAUGUAAUUUUUCAAAAUCGUUUUUAAUUUAAACUGUGUUUUAGUGUAAAAUUGUUAACCUUGUAAGAUGGAUAAUGUGUAUAAGAAUGUAGGCCUUAACUAUUUCACAUGAGUCAAAACAAAGCAGCUUUAAAAAAAUAAUUGGAAGCACAAGUGCAUGGCACUGACUGAAUGCUGUUAAUAUUUCUAAAAGUUUCUACAUUCAGAUUAUAUGCCUGAUUCAUAGUAAAAUACCUCUAAUAAACACUGUUUUAUAGAAAACCUGACUUCAGUGAAUAUUUUUGUAUUUUACAUGGGCCAGUUUAUAUACUGCUAUUUACACUAUUAUUUCCUAUAGCUACAUGUUCUUUGUACCUUUUGUAGUUUUAUUUGUAUUACUAGAUUCAUACCUUGAUGGUAACGCUCUAUCUGGUUUUGGGUGUUUUUCAUGUUUUAGCAUUUGUAUAAAGAAACUGGUCCAUGUAAAUACUUUCCAUGUUUUUUCUUCAAAUGUUUAAACCACUAGUUGAUGUAUGGUAUCUUUAGAUAUUUGCCUGUCUGUUUGCUCAAAAUUGCUUCUAAAACAAUAAAGAUUCUUUUAUUUCUUAAGGCAA